rnacentral:rRNA from 1 species
UUGAACGCUGGCGGCAUGCCUUACACAUGCAAGUCGAACGGUAACAGGGGGCUUGCUCCGCUGACGAGUGGCGAACGGGUGAGUAAUGUAUCGGAACGUACCAUUCAGUGGGGGAUAACGUAGCGAAAGUUACGCUAAUACCGCAUAUUCUGUGAGCAGGAAAGCAGGGGAUCGCAAGACCUUGCGCUGAUUGAGCGGCCGAUAUCAGAUUAGCUAGUUGGUGAGGUAAAAGCUCACCAAGGCGACGAUCUGUAGCGGGUCUGAGAGGAUGAUCCGCCACACUGGAACUGAGACACGGUCCAGACUCCUACGGGAGGCAGCAGUGGGGAAUUUUGGACAAUGGGGGCAACCCUGAUCCAGCCAUGCCGCGUGAGUGAAGAAGGCCUUCGGGUUGUAAAGCUCUUUCAGCCGGGAAGAAAACGCAUGGGUUAAUACCCUGUGUGGAUGACGGUACCGGAAUAAGAAGCACCGGCUAACUACGU